rnacentral:tRNA from 1 species
GGAGGGGUACCCGUAACUGGUAACGGAGCGGUCUUGAAAACCGCCGUCCUUCAAUGGACUUGCGGGUUCGAGUCCCGCCCCCUCCGCCA